ACAUGCCUCACUACUCUCUCAUCUCCUCCACAGAGCUUCCUUUCUCUCAACCUCCAGCCACCUCUGUUUUUCUUCAACAACCUUAAACCGGCAAGGGCAUCUACUCUCUCAAUCUAACCCAGACGGCACACAGCCAAGCCAAGCCCUUCUCAUCCUCCUCCACCUCUAUUUUUCUCAUGUCCACCGCUGUUUUCUCAGCAACCUGAGACCGGCAAGAGCUUCCUCUCUCUCAGCCUCCGGCCACGUACUGACGGGAAGAAAAUACUCUCUCUUUAAAACCCAAUCAACGCCUCUCUCAUCCUCAUUCUUUGUUCUUCUCAGAAACCCCAACCACUGCCACAGGUUCCGCCUUUCCCAUCCCCCACCCACCUCUCCGGCGCCAAGGACCACCGAUUCUAAAAAAUCUUUUCGAGGCUCUGACUUCUUUCCAGGAUUUGAAGUAAAAAAUUUCAAGGAAAUAUUGAAGAAUGUUAAUUUUGCAACAAAAUGACCAAGAUUGACCGAAAAUCAGACCGUCCAAUCAGGAUAAUUCUAGCUCCAUCAUGAAGGGAAUGAAGCCUUUUUUUUUGUGGCUGCUCAUACGUCAAAAUCGGUUUUGAAUCUCAUAAGAUAUUGUAAAGCAAUUAGGUCAACACUCAAAUCAUUUUUUUACCAAGUGUUGGAAGAGUGCAACGUGGUCAACAAGCGUCAAAGAACGUCAAGUUUGGGUAAGAAAUGUCUUUGGAAUGUGCAUCACACAGGUUCUGAUUUAUUAAGGAUGGUAUUAUAGACCAUGGACAAAGACAACAAUCUGUGCUCCUCUAAUUUUUAGAACGUGAAGUGGGGACUGAUGAUGAGCGCUUCUCUUAGUGGAAUUUUAACUAUGAACGUAGAGAAUAAAUAUUCAACUGUAAGAAGACCCCGUGUAUUUGUACCUAAUUACUUACUCUUGGAUACUGAGUGCCCAAAUCCCAACUUCACCAGCAUUCGGUCCAUGAAUCAUAAUUGUGGCUAACUUGACUUGCGGAUAGCACAAUGAAUUUGCAGCAUAUUGACUUAGAGAAAGAUGUUGAAAGAUUAAUGGAUUUGACAUUGAAGUCA